UACAGAGGUCCCAAGCGUGUUCGGAUUCAUUGGGCGUAAAGGGUGCGUAGGCGGCGCGGUAAGUCGGGUGUGAAAUCUCGGGGCUUAACUCCGAAACUGCAUUCGAUACUGCCGUGCUUGAGGACUGGAGAGGAGACUGGAAUUUACGGUGUAGCGGUGAAAUGCGUAGAUAUCGUAAGGAAGACCAGUGGCGAAGGCGGGUCUCUGGACAGUUCUGACGCUGAGGCACGAAGGCCAGGGGAGCAAACGGG
rnacentral:rRNA from 1 species